rnacentral:tRNA from 2 species
GGUAGGAUGGCCGAGGGUUAGGCGGUGGUUUGUAGCUCCAUAAACAGAGGUUCAAAUCCUCUUCCUAUC